UGCAGUCGAGCGAUGGAUUAAGAGCUUGCUCUUAUGAAGUUAGCGGCGGACGGGUGAGUAACACGUGGGUAACCUGCCCAUAAGACUGGGAUAACUCCGGGAAACCGGGGCUAAUACCGGAUAACAUUUUGAACCGCAUGGUUCGAAAUUGAAAGGCGGCUUCGGCUGUCACUUAUGGAUGGACCCGCGUCGCAUUAGCUAGUUGGUGAGGUAACGGCUCACCAAGGCAACGAUGCGUAGCCGACCUGAGAGGGUGAUCGGCCACACUGGGACUGAGACACGGCCCAGACUCCUACGGGAGGCAGCAGUAGGGAAUCUUCCGCAAUGGACGAAAGUCUGACGGAGCAACGCCGCGUGAGUGAUGAAGGCUUUCGGGUCGUAAAACUCUGUUGUUAGGGAAGAACAAGUGCUAGUUGAAUAAGCUGGCACCUUGACGGUACCUAACCAGAAAGCCACGGCUAACUACGUGCCAGCAGCCGCGGUAAUACGUAGGUGGCAAGCGUUAUCCGGAAUUAUUGGGCGUAAAGCGCGCGCAGGUGGUUUCUUAAGUCUGAUGUGAAAGCCCACGGCUCAACCGUGGAGGGUCAUUGGAAACUGGGAGACUUGAGUGCAGAAGAGGAAAGUGGAAUUCCAUGUGUAGCGGUGAAAUGCGUAGAGAUAUGGAGGAACACCAGUGGCGAAAGGCGACUUUCUGGUCUGUAACUGACACUGAGGCGCGAAAGCGUGGGGG
rnacentral:rRNA from 2 species